GGUCGUGUAGCUCAGCCGGUUAGAGCGUCAGUCUAAUAAACUGAAAGUCCGCGGUUCGAUCCCGCGCUCGACCA
rfam:Gregarina niphandrodes unplaced genomic scaffold scaffold00010, whole genome shotgun sequence.